UGCUAGCUACAGCAGCACUAUGAUAAAAUUGGAAUGAUCCAGAGAAGGUUAGCAUGGCCCCUGCACAAGGAUGACACACAAAUUCUUGAAGCAUCCCAUAUUUUU